AGUGAACGCUGGCGGUAGGCCUAACACAUGCAAGUCGAACGGCAGCACAGUAAGAGCUUGCUCUUACGGGUGGCGAGUGGCGGACGGGUGAGAAAUACAUCGGAAUCUACUUUUUCGUGGGGGAUAACGUAGGGAAACUUACGCUAAUACCGCAUACGACCUACGGGUGAAAGCAGGGGAUCUUCGGACCUUGCGCGAUUGAAUGGGCCGAUGUCGGAUUAGCUAGUUGGCGGGGUAAAGGCCCACCAAGGCGACGAUCCGUAGCUGGUCUGAGAGGAUGAUCAGCCACACUGGAACUGAGACACGGUCCAGACUCCUACGGGAGGCAGCAGUGGGGAAUAUUGGACAAUGGGCGCAAGCCUGAUCCAGCCAUACCGCGUGGGUGAAGAAGGCCUUCGGGUUGUAAAGCCCUUUUGUUGGGAAAGAAAAGCAGCAGGUUAAUACCCCGCUGUUCUGACGGUACCCAAAGAAUAAGCACCGGCUAACUUCGUG
rnacentral:rRNA from 1 species